GACGAACGCUGGCGGCGUGCCUAAUACAUGCAAGUUGAGCGCUGAAGGUUGGUACUUGUACCAACUGGAUGAGCAGCGAACGGGUGAGUAACGCGUGGGGAAUCUGCCUUUGAGCGGGGGACAACAUUUGGAAACGAAUGCUAAUACCGCAUAAAAACUUUAAACACAAGUUUUAAGUUUGAAAGAUGCAAUUGCAUCACUCAAAGAUGAUCCCGCGUUGUAUUAUCUAGUUGGUGAGGUAAAGGCUCACCAAGGCGAUGAUACAUAGCCGACCUGAGAGGGGGAUCGGCCACAUUGGGACUGGGAAACGGCCCAAACUCCUACGGGAGGCAGCAGUAGGGAAUCUUCGGCAAUGGACGAAAGUCUGACCGAGAAACGCCGCGUGAGUGAAGAAGGUUUUCGGAUCGUAAAACUCUGUUGGUAGAGAAGAACGUUGGUGAGAGUGGAAAGCUCAUCAAGUGACGGUAACUACCCAGAAAGGGACGGCUAACUACGUG
rnacentral:rRNA from 1 species